UUCCGGUUGAUCCUGCCAGAGGCUACUGCUAUCGGGGUCCGACUAAGCCAUGCGAGUUGAGAGGGGUAAGCCCUCGGCAUAUUGCUCAGUAACACGCGGAUAACCUGCCCUUGGGUUUGGGAUAACCCCGGGAAACUGGGACUAAUACCGGAUAGAUCAAAGAUACUGGAAUGUUCUUUGUUCGAAAGCUCCGGCGCCCAAGGAUGGGUCUGCGGCCUAUCAGGUAGUAGUGGGUGUAACGUACCUACUAGCCUACGACGGGUAAGGGUUGUGAGAGCAAGAGCCCUGAGAUGGAUUCUGAGACAUGAAUCCAGGCCCUACGGGGUGCAGCAGGCGCGAAAACUUUACACUGCGGGAAACCGCGAUAAGGGGACCC
rnacentral:rRNA from 1 species